rnacentral:rRNA from 1 species
AUGGAAGACUACUUCUCCGAGGUACCUACAUACCCUCCUCGUCUCUUCCACAGAAGGUACCGAAUGCGGUGUAGUUUGUUUGUGAAGAUUGUCACCGAUUGUGAGGCCGCCUCAUAUUACUUUAAACGUCGUAGAUCCGCCGCCGGUAUCAUGGGGUUUAGUGCAUAUCAAAAGAUAUCGGCGGCAAUGCGGGUACUCGCUUAUGGCAUACCCGCGGAUUAUACAGACGAGUAUCUUCGCAUUGGUCAAGAUACAACCACGGAGUCAGUCCGUAGGUUUGCCAAGUUGGUCAUCCGAUUGUACGGUGAGUAG